CUAAAAAAAUCGCGGAUGGAGGAGGGCGUGGCCGAUGCUGGUGGCGGGAUGGACGGCGUGGUGGAGGGCGUGGCCGACGCUGCGCCGGUCUCGGCCUCGGUCGGCCAUGGCGGGGAGGCGACGGGCGGCCAUGGCGGGGAGGCGACGGACGGCCAUGGCGGGGAGGCGGAGGGAGUUCCAGGCGCGCCACUGGAUGGCGUCCAUGGCGGGGAGGCGGAAGGAGGUCCAGGUGCGGCGCCGGAGGGCGGCCAUGGCGGGGAGGCAGAGGGAGGUCCAGGUGCGACGGCCUCGGAUGCAAGUGCUCCGGCAUGGCUACAAGGGUUCGGUGCCUAUUGUUCAAGAAGGGAUGAAGAUAAGUGUCCAUGGAGGAUAUAUGCUUCUACAAUGGAAGAUGGGUGCACCGUAAUGGUGAGAAAGAACUCUUGUGGUCAUGAUUUCUCAAGUACAAAAAGGAAAAAGAAGAUAAAGAAUGCAACCAAGCGGUGGAUAUGUGAGCACGUGAAGGAUUGGCUAAUUGAGGAUGCAACUCUAGGACCAAAGGCAUUGCGAAAGAAGCUUAAAGAGCACCAUGGAAUCAACAUCAAGUACAAGAGAGUAUACAUGGGUAAGCUGCUAGCCUUGAAGGAACUAUAUGGUGAUUGGGAUACAAGCUUUGAUAAUCUGUAUAGUUUUAAGGCACAAAUUGAAAGGUGCUGCCCCGGUAGCAUAGUGAUAAUUGAGCACCACACAAUAAAAGAUAAAAUCAAAUUUAAGAGAUUUUUUGUCGCUUUGAAGCCUUGCAUCGGCAGGUUCCUUAGUGGUUGCAGGCCAUACUUGGCAGUAGAUAGCACCUUCUUGACAGGCAGAUUCAAGGGGCAACUGGCUAGUGCUACCGCCGUUGAUGGCCAUAGUUGGAUGUAUCCAGUUUGUAUGGGUGUUUUUGAUUCUGAAACUAAUGAGAACUGGAUCUGGUUCAUGCAAUUGGUUAGGCAAGCCAUAGGAUCCCCAAGGGGUUUAACCAUAUGCACCGAUGCUAGGCAGCCAGUGAUGACAGGUGUAAAAGAAGUGUUCCCAGAGGCUGAACAUAGGGAAUGUAUGUUUCACUUGGUGUCCAACUUCAAGAAGAAGUUUCAUGGAAAGGUUUUUGAUGACCACCUUUGGGCUGCUGCUUACUCAUGGAACCCAUAUUUAUUUGAGAAAAAUUGGGUUGCAAUGGACAUAGCAAAGCCAACAGCGACUGCAUAUCUUAGGAAGUGGCACACUAGGUUGUGGUCUAGGAGUCAGUUCUCAACAAUUUCCAAGGUGGAUUAUGUUACAAACAACUUGGAUGAGUGCUUCAAUAAUCGGAUUAAGCAUCACAAGUCCUUGAACUUGGACGACUUCUUUGAUAAGCUUAGGCAAUUGAUUAUGAUCAUGUGGAACCGAAGGAGAAAGGUAGCAAGAAAGUUAGUUGGGUUGAUUCUUCCCCACAUAAUUAAGAAGUUGAAUGCAAAGACCAGAGAAUUAAACUUGGAGGUGGUUGAAAGCUCAGAAGAAGUUGCUGAAGUAACCGCAUUGGGAGGCAACGGCUUUAGGUUUGUGGUCAACUUGCUUGACAGGACAUGUUCUUGUAGAUAAUGGGAAGUUUCUGGCCUUCCUUGCAAACAUGGUCUAGCAUUUAUCACAUCUCUUACCAAUGCACGCAUAGAGAACUAUGUGGACUCGUGUUACUCCAUUCACAAAUUUAGAGCAGCUUAUGACCAACUAAUCCCUGCCAUGGUUGACAAGAACCAGUGGCCUAAAUCAGACCAUGGAUUCUUCAUGUAUCCACCACUACUAAAAGCCACAGCGGGUAGGCCUAAAACUGAGAGGUAUAAAGGCUGCAGUGAGAAGAAAAGAAAAAGCGGCCAACACUUAUGCCCUAUUUGCAAGGACUAUGGGCAUCAUUGGCACAAAUGCAAGAAGGGUAACCCAGAUGACAUUGCUGCUAUUUUAGAUGUGAGAGGACCACCAAAGAAGAGGACAAAG